CAGAGUUCAUGCCCUUCGGGGUAGAUCUCCCACCCGUGUUAUUAUACUAUUGUUGCUUUGGCGGGCCCGCCUCGGCCACCGGCUCCGGCUGGUGAGCGCCCGCCAGAGGACCCCAAACUCUGAAAUUUAGUGUCGUCUGAGUACUAUUUUAAUAGUUA
rnacentral:misc_RNA from 2 species